rnacentral:rRNA from 1 species
CAAGUCGAGCGAGCUUGCCUAGAUGAUUUUAGUGCUUGCACUAAAUGAAACUAGAUACAAGCGAGCGGCGGACGGGUGAGUAACACGUGGGUAACCUGCCCAAGAGACUGGGAUAACACCUGGAAACAGAUGCUAAUACCGGAUAACAACACUAGACGCAUGUCUAGAGUUUGAAAGAUGGUUCUGCUAUCACUCUUGGAUGGACCUGCGGUGCAUUAGCUAGUUGGUAAGGUAACGGCUUACCAAGGCAAUGAUGCAUAGCCGAGUUGAGAGACUGAUCGGCCACAUUGGGACUGAGACACGGCCCAAACUCCUACGGGAGGCAGCAGUAGGGAAUCUUCCACAAUGGACGAAAGUCUGAUGGAGCAACGCCGCGUGAGUGAAGAAGGGUUUCGGCUCGUAAAGCUCUGUUGGUAGUGAAGAAGGAUAGAGGUAGUAACUGGCCUUUAUUUGACGGUAAUCAACCAGAAAGUCACGGCUAACUACGUGCC